rnacentral:lncRNA from 1 species
GAUUCCUCCUGCUCGUCCUGCCGCUGGCCUCGCGUCCUCGAGGAGCUCGGGUGCUUGGCGGCGGACGUGGGCGGCAAAGUCACUGGGGUCCUCCUCCUCAGCCGGCUACGAACAGAAAGAAGAGAAGGGAAUUGAAUGCUCUGCACACCAUGUUCCUUCCUCGACGACUGGAACGAUUCAGACGAAGAGAUUGACAAGAUCGAGC